AACCAGCUGGAGGAGGAGAACAGUGUGGACGUCUAUCUGACCGCCAGGAUGAUGAACCUCAUGAGGCCGGGGGUCUUCGAUGAUAUUGAACAGUAUCAGUUCCUCUAUAAAGCGAUCCUGAGUUUGGUGAGCACUAAGGAGGAUGAGAGAGCUCUUCACUACUCGGAAAACAACGGCACGGUCCCCGCCAACCCAUCGGAGAGCCUGGAGUCUCUCAUGUAGCGAUACAGGUCCUUCACACAAGGAAUUGUACAUUGAAUCA